rnacentral:rRNA from 1 species
GUGGGGAAUAUUGGACAAUGGGCGCAAGCCUGAUCCAGCCAUGCCGCGUGAGUGAUGAAGGCCUUAGGGUUGUAAAGCUCUUUUGUCCGGGACGAUAAUGACGGUACCGGAAGAAUAAGCCCCGGCUAACUUCGUGCCAGCAGCCGCGGUAAUACGAAGGGGGCUAGCGUUGCUCGGAAUCACUGGGCGUAAAGGGCGCGUAGGCGGCCUUGUAAGUUGGGGGUGAAAGCCCGUGGCUCAACCACGGAAUUGCCUUCGAUACUGCUUGGCUUGAGUGUGGUAGAGGUUGGUGGAACUGCGAGUGUAGAGGUGAAAUUCGUAGAUAUUCGCAAGAACACCGGUGGCGAAGGCGGCCAACUGGACCAUCACUGACGCUGAGGCGCGAAAGCGUGGGGAGCAA